ACUGCAAUCUGGCCAAAAUGAUACAACUAUAUUGAAGUAGCCUACUGUAAUGAAGCUGCAGAGCAACACAGAGACUCUGAGGACAUCAACACAGAAAAUCAAGGCUCCAAAGAGAUGUCUGUCCAGAUGAGGGUGCAUCAACGUUACCUUUGCUGACAAGUAUAUGCUUUUUAGCAGUUAACUUAACUCAAACCAUUUAAGGAAAUCGGUUGCCUUAAACCAUUAAGUUUUAAAAAACAUACAUUUGAGUACUGUGAACUUAAGUCUUGUGCAAUUAUGCACUUAUAUUUAGGUAGUGUGAACUUAAACAAAUUGAGUCACAUGCAGUUAAGCACUUAUAUUUAAGUUCACAGUACUCAAAUCUAUGCGUUUUAAAACUUGAAUGGUUUAAUGCAACCGGUUUUCUUAAAUGUGAGAAAUUACAGUGUUACAGUGAGAAAUGUUUGAAUAAUUCCAAGACAGAGCUCUGUGAUUAAUUCUACACUGCAAAAAAUCACUUUCUAACACUUUUUAUCUUGUUUUCAGUAGAAAAACUAAAAAUUCUUAAAUCAAGAUGUAUUUUCUUGAUGAGCAAAAUUACC